rnacentral:misc_RNA from 1 species
AAAAGACAAAGCGUUCAAUCACCAAUCCCUCAUGCUAAUUCUUCAAGCGGAGAUGGAGAUGGAGAUGGAUAUGAAUGUGGAGAUUUUUGUACUAAUGGAAAGAUCUUUACAAACAGGUCGCCAAUCACUUCUCAAGAAUUACAAGAUAGCACCCAAGAAGAAGAAGACAUGGCUAAUUGCCUUAUUCUACUUGCUCAAGGUCAUAUUAAUAAACAUUCAUCACCAAAGCAAGACAAUAAUGAUGCUGCUGGAGUUUACAAACCCACCACCGCUGCUGU